rnacentral:rRNA from 1 species
AGUCAAGUAAUUAAGUGCAUGUGGUGGAUGCCUUGGCAGUCAGAGGCGAUGAAAGACGUGAUAGCCUGCGAAAAGCUCCGGGGAGGCGGCAAAUAUCCUUUGAUCCGGAGAUGUCUGAAUGGGGGAACCCACCUACUUUAAGGUAGGUAUUGCAACAUGAAUACAUAGUGUUGCAAGGCGAACGAGGGGAAGUGAAACAUCUCAGUACCCUUAGGAAAAGAAAUCAAUUGAGAUUCCCUCAGUAGCGGCGAGCGAACGGGGAUCAGCCCAUUAAGUUAUGUGUGUUUUAGUGGAACGCUCUGGGAAGUGCGAACGUAGAGGGUGAUAUUCCCGUACACGAAAGGGCACACAUAAUGAUGACGAGUAGGGCGAGGCACGUGAAACCUUGUCUGAAUAUGGGGGGACCAUCCUCCAAGGCUAAAUACUCCUGACUGACCGAUAGUGAACCAGUACCGUGAGGGAAAGGCGAAAAGAACCCCUGUGAGGGGAGUGAAAUAGAUCCUGAAACCGCAUGCAUACAAGCAGUGGGAGCACCUUCGUGGUGUGACUGCGUACCUUUUGUAUAAUGGGUCAGCGACUUAUAUUCAGUAGCGAGGUU